UACGGAGGGUGCAAGCGCUAUCCGGAUUCACUGGGUUUAUAGGGUGCGUAGGUGGGUUGGCAAGUCAGUGGUGAAAUCCCCGAGCUUAACUUGGGAACUGCCAUUGAUACUAUCAAUCUUGAAUACUGUGGAGGUCAGCGGAAUAUGUCAUGUAGCGGUGAAAUGCUUAGAUAUGACAUAGAACACCAAUUGCGAAGGCAGCUGGCUACACAAUUAUUGACACUGAGGCACGAAAGCGUGGGGAUCAAACAGG
rnacentral:rRNA from 1 species